UACAGAGGUCUCAAGCGUUGUUCGGAUUCAUUGGGCGUAAAGGGUGCGUAGGCGGCGCGGUAAGUCGGGUGUGAAAUCUUGGAGCUUAACUCCGAAACUGCAUUCGAUACUGCUUUGCUUGAGGACUGGAGAGGAGAUUGGAAUUCACGGUGUAGCAGUGAAAUGCGUAGAUAUCGUGAGGAAGACCAGUGGCGAAGGCGGAUCUCUGGACAGUUCCUGACGCUGAGGCACGAAGGUCAGGGGAGCAAACGGG
rnacentral:rRNA from 1 species